rnacentral:rRNA from 1 species
AGAAUCAACGCUGGCGGCGUGCCUAACACAUGCAAGUCGAACGCGAAAGCCCCGCAAGGGGCAAGUAGAGUGGCAAACGGGUGAGUAACACGUGGGUGACCUGCCUUCGAGCGGGGGAUAACGUCCCGAAAGGGACGCUAAUACCGCAUAACAUCCUGCCUUUGAAGAGGCGGAGAUCAAAGCUGGGGAUCGCAAGACCCGGCACUUGAAGAGGGGCCCGCGCCUGAUUAGCUAGUUGGUGGGUAAUGGCCUACCAAGGCAACGAUC